rnacentral:rRNA from 1 species
GGAAUAUUGGACAAUGGGCGCAAGCCUGAUCCAGCCAUGCCGCGUGCAGGAAGACGGUCCUAUGGAUUGUAAACUGCUUUUAUACAGGAAGAAACACCCCGACGUGUCGGGACUUGACGGUACUGUAAGAAUAAGGAUCGGCUAACUCCGUGCCAGCAGCCGCGGUAAUACGGAGGAUCCAAGCGUUAUCCGGAAUCAUUGGGUUUAAAGGGUCCGUAGGCGGUUUAAUAAGUCAGUGGUGAAAGCCCAUCGCUCAACGAUGGAACGGCCAUUGAUACUGUUAGACUUGAAUUAUUGGGAAGUAACUAGAAUAUGUAGUGUAGCGGUGAAAUGCUUAGAUAUUACAUGGAAUACCAAUUGCGAAGGCAGGUUACUACCAAUAUAUUGACGCUGAUGGACGAAAGCGUGGGGAGCGAACAGGAUUAGAUACCCUGGUAGUCCACGCCGUAAACGAUGGAUACUAGCUGUUGGAAGCAAUUUCAGUGGCUAAGCGAAAGUGAUAAGUAUCCCACCUGGGGAGUACGUUCGCAAGAAUGAAACUCAAAUGAAUUGACGG